rnacentral:rRNA from 1 species
UACAGAGGGUGCAAGCGUUAAUCGGAAUUACUGGGCGUAAAGCGUGCGUAGACGGUUAUGUAAGUCAGGUGUGAAAGCCCCGGGGCUCAACCUGGGAAUUGCAUUUGAGACUGCAUAGCUAGGGUGCGGAAGAGGGAAGCGGAAUUUCCGGUGUAGCGGUGAAAUGCGUAGAGUAUCGGAAGGAACACCAGUGGCGAAAGCGGCUUCCUGGUCCAGCACCGGACGUCAGGCACGAAAGCGUGGGGAGCAAACAGG